AACGAACGCUGGCGGCAUGCCUAACACAUGCAAGUCGAACGAGACCUUCGGGUCUAGUGGCGCACGGGUGCGUAACGCGUGGGAAUCUACCCUCAGGUUCGGAAUAACUCAGAGAAAUUUGAGCUAAUACCGGAUGAUGACGUAAGUCCAAAGAUUUAUCGCCUGAGGAUGAGCCCGCUUAGGAUUAGGUAGUUGGUGAGGUAAAGGCUCACCAAGCCGACGAUCCUUAGCUGGUCUGAGAGGAUGAUCAGCCACACUGGGACUGAGACACGGCCCAGACUCCUACGGGAGGCAGCAGUGGGGAAUAUUGGACAAUGGGCGAAAGACUGAUCCAGCAAUGCCGAGUGAGUGAUGAAGGCCUUAGGGUUGUAAAGCUCUUUUACCCGGGAUGAUAAUGACAGUACCGGGAGAAUAAGCACCGGCUAACUCCGUG
rnacentral:rRNA from 1 species